rfam:Ictidomys tridecemlineatus contig014194, whole genome shotgun sequence.
GUGGUUGUGGCUCAGCGGUAGAGCUCUCACCUAGAGUGUGCGAGGCCCUGGGUGCGAUCCUCAGCACCACA